GAUAAACGCUGGCGGCGUGCCUAACACAUGCAAGUCGAACGACCUUGUUCUCGCAAGGGGCCGAGGGAGUGGCGGACGGGUGAGUAACACAUGGGUACCUGCCCUUCGGUGAGGACUACCGGCGAGAAAUCGCCGACAAUAACGCAUGAGCUCUCUUGUGAAAGAGAGAGCAAAGCUUCCUGAUAGAGAGGCGCCAGGGGAUGGGCCUGUGGCCGAUUAGCUGGUUGGUAGGGUGAAAGCCUACCAAGGCGACGAUCGGUAGCUGGUCUGAGAGGACGAUCAGCCACACUGGGAUUGAGAACGGCCCAGACUCCUACGGGGGGCAGCAGUGAGGAAUUUUCGGCAAUGGGGGCAACCCUGACCGAGCAACGCCGCGUGCAGGAGGACGCUUUUCGGAGUGUAAACUGCUUUUCUGUGGGACGAGAACGGACGGUACCACAGGAAGAAGCCCCGGCUAACUACGUGCCAGCCGCCGCGGUAAUAC
rnacentral:rRNA from 1 species